GCUUGUUUUAGCAGACAUAUGCUAAAGUUGGAAUGACACAGAGAAGAUUAGCAUGGCCCCUGCUCAAGGAUGACACACAAACUCGCGAAGUAUUCCAUAUUUUU